rnacentral:rRNA from 1 species
GACGAACGCUGGCGGCGUGCUUAACACAUGCAAGUCGAACGGAAAGGCCCUGCUUUUGUGGGGUGCUCGAGUGGCGAACGGGUGAGUAACACGUGAGUAACCUGCCCUUGACUUUGGGAUAACUUCAGGAAACUGGGGCUAAUACCGGAUAGGAGCUCCUGCUGCAUGGUGGGGGUUGGAAAGUUUCGGCGGUUGGGGAUGGACUCGCGGCUUAUCAGCUUGUUGGUGGGGUAGUGGCUUACCAAGGCUUUGACGGGUAGCCGGCCUGAGAGGGUGGCCGGCCACAUUGGGACUGAGAUACGGCCCAGACUCCUACGGGAGGCAGCAGUGGGGAAUAUUGCACAAUGGGCGGAAGCCUGAUGCAGCAACGCCGCGUGCGGGAUGACGGCCUUCGGGUUGUAAACCGCUUUCGCCUGUGACGAAGCGUGAGUGACGGUAAUGGGUAAAGAAGCACCGGCUAACUACGUG